rnacentral:rRNA from 1 species
UCAUUGGGUUUAAAGGGUCCGUAGGCGGGCCGUUAAGUCAGGGGUGAAAGUCUGCGGAUCAACCGUAGAACUGCCCUUGAUACUGUCGGCCUUGAGUUAUGGUGAAGUAGCCAGAAUAUGUGGUGUAGCGGUGAAAUGCAUAGAUAUCACAUGGAAUACCGAUUGCGAAGGCAGGCUACUAACCAUAUACUGACGCUGAUGGACGAAAGCGUGGGUAGCGAACAG